GCCUUAGUAGCUCAGUCCUGGUUAGAGCGCGACAUUGGUAAUGUCGAGGUCCUGGGUUCGAAUCCCAGCUGAGGCU
rnacentral:tRNA from 1 species